rnacentral:rRNA from 1 species
UACGUAGGGGGCUAGCGUUGUCCGGAAUCAUUGGGCGUAAAGCGCGUGUAGGCGGUUCGGUAAGUCCGCUGUGAAAGUCGGGGGCUCAACCCUCGGAUGCCGGUGGAUACUGUCGGGCUUGAGUACGGAAGAGGCGAAUGGAAUUCCUGGUGUAGCGGUGAAAUGCGCAGAUAUCAGGAGGAACACCAAUUGCGAAGGCAGCUCGCUGGGACGUUACUGACGCUGAGACGCGAAAGCGUGGGGAGCAAACAGG